rnacentral:rRNA from 1 species
AUUGAACGCUGGCGGCAGGCCUAACACAUGCAAGUCGAACGGCAGCACAGAAGAGCUUGCUCUUUGGGUGGCGAGUGGCGGACGGGUGAGUAAUGUCUGGGAAGCUGCCCGAUGGAGGGGGAUAACUACUGGAAACGGUAGCUAAUACCGCAUAACGUCGCAAGACCAAAGUGGGGGACCCUCGGGCCUCACACCAUCGGAUGUGCCCAGAUGGGAUUAGCUAGUAGGUGGGGUAAUGGCUCACCUAGGCGACGAUCCCUAGCUGGUCUGAGAGGAUGACCAGCCACACUGGAACUGAGACACGGUCCAGACUCCUACGGGAGGCAGCAGUGGGGAAUAUUGCACAAUGGGCGCAAGCCUGAUGCAGCCAUGCCGCGUGUAUGAAGAAGGCCUUAUGGUUAUAAAGCACUUUAAGCGAGGAGGAGGCUCUUUUGGUUAAUACCCAAGAUGAGUGGACGUUACUCGCAGAAUAAGCACCGGCUAACUCUGUGCCAGCAGCCGCCGCGG